rnacentral:rRNA from 1 species
UGAGUGCGAGCUGCUACGGCAGCGAAUUUGGUGACGUCAAGCUUCCAAGAAAAGCCCUAUACCCGUUAAGGCAUCAUGGCCUGUACCCGAAACCGACACAGGUGGGGUGGUAGAGAAUACCGAGGGGCGCGAGGUAACUCUCUCUAAGGAACUCGGCAAAAUGGCCCCGUAACUUCGGGAGAAGGGGUGCCACCGCAAGGUGGUCGCAGUGAAGAGGCCCAGGCGACUGUUUACCAAAAACACAGGUCUCCGCUAAGUCGCAAGACGAUGUAUGGGGGCUGACGCCUGCCCAGUGCCGGAAGGUUAAGGAAGCUGGUCAGCGCAAGCGAAGCUGGCGACUGAAGCCCCGGUGAACGGCGGCCGUAACUAUAACGGUCCUAAGGUAGCGAAAUUCCUUGUCGGGUAAGUUCCGACCCGCACGAAAGGCGUAACGAUCUGGGCGCUGUCUCGGAGAGAGGCUCGGCGAAAUAGAAUUGUCUGUGAAGAUGCGGACUACGUGCACCCGGACAGAAAGACCCUAUGAAGCUUUACUGUAGCUUGGUAUUGUGCCCGGGCUCUGAAUGCGCAGGAUAGGUGGGAGGCUUUGAUCAUCGGCUUGCGGGUCGAUGUGAGCCAACGGUGAGAUACCACUCUUUCAGAGCUAGGGUUCUAACAGUCACCCGUUAUCCGGGGACUGGACAGUAUCAGGUGGGCAGUUUGACUGGGGCGGUCGCCUCCUAAAAGGUAACGGAGGCGCGCAAAGGUCUGCUCAGGCUGGUUGGAAAUCAGCCGACGAGUGUAAAAGCAGAAGCAGGCUUGACUGUGAGACCUACAAGUCGAACAGGGAGGAAACUCGGCUUUAGUGAUCCGACGGUUCUGCGUGGAAGGGCCGUCGCUCAACGGAUAAAAGUUACUCUAAGGAUAACAGGCUGAUCUCCCCCAAGAGUUCACAUCGACGGGGAGGUUUGGCACCUCGAUGUCGGCUCAUCGCAACCUGGGGCUGAAGUCGGUCCCAAGGGUUGGGCUGUUCGCCCAUUAAAGCGGUACGCGAGCUGGGUUCAGAACGUCGUGAGACAGUUCGGUCCAUAUCCGGUGCAUGCGCAGGAAUAUUGAGAGGAGUUCUCCCUAGUACGAGAGGACCGGGAGGAACGCACCUCUGGUGUACCAGUUAUCGUGCCAACGGUAAACGCUGGGUAGCCAUGUGCGGAGAGGAUAACCGCUGAAAGCAUCUAAGUGGGAAGCCCACCUCAAGAUGAGUAUUCCCAUGGCGUUAGCCAGUAAGGUCACGGGAAGAACACCCGUUGAUAGGCUCUAUGUGGAAGCGCAGUAAUGCGUGAAGCAGAGGAGUACUAAUAGACCGAGGGCUUGAU